rnacentral:misc_RNA from 1 species
CUUUGAAUCAUUCUUUGAAGGCAAUUCAGAAUUGGACAAGUUGCUCCCUGAUCCACAGAAAGGUACAGUACAAACAUUACCUGGAACGGGAGGUGUACCGAGGGGCACAGAAAAUUCAAAGUCAUUUCCCAUUAUUGAUGUAUAAGGUGGACCAGUAGUUCUUUCAUCAUCGCUUUCAGUUAUGUCAAUAACAACAACUUUUGCACGACUUUCACUAGCUGGUGUAGAAGGAG